rnacentral:rRNA from 1 species
CUACGGGGGGCUCCAGUGAGGAAUAUUGCACAAUGGGGGGAACCCUGAUGCAGCAACGCCGCGUGGAGGAUGACGCAUUUCGGUGUGUAAACUCCUUUUAUAUGUCAAGAAAAUGACGGUAGCAUAUGAAUAAGCACCGGCAACUCCGUGCCAGCAGCCGCGGUAAUACGGAGGGGGCAAGCGUUACUCGGAAUCACUGGGCGUAAAGGACGCGUAGGCGGGUUGGAAAGUCAGGUGUGAAAUCCUACAGCUUAACUGUAGAACUGCACUUGAAACUUCUAAUCUAGAGUAUGGGAGGGGGAGAUGGAAUUAGUGGUGUAGGGGUAAAAUCCGUAGAUAUCACUAGGAAUACCUAAAGCGAAGGCGAUCUCCUGGAACAUUACUGACGCUAAGGCGUGAAAGCGUGGGGAGCAAACAGGAUUAGAUACCCGGGUAGUC